rnacentral:rRNA from 1 species
CGGAGAGUUUGAUCCUGGCUCANGACGAACGCUGGCGGCGUGCCUAAUACAUGCAAGUCGAGCGAAUCUGAGGGAGCUUGCUCCCAAAGAUUAGCGGCGGACGGGUGAGUAACACGUGGGCAACCUGCCUGUAAGACUGGGAUAACUUCGGGAAACCGGAGCUAAUACCGGAUAAUCCUUUUCUGCUCAUGUAGAAAAGCUGAAAGAUGGCUUCGGCUAUCACUUACAGAUGGGCCCGCGGCGCAUUAGUUAGUUGGUGAGGUAACGGCUCACCAAGACGACGAUGCGUAGCCGACCUGAGAGGGUGAUCGGCCACACUGGGACUGAGACACGGCCCAGACUCCUACGGGAGGCAGCAGUAGGGAAUCUUCCGCAAUGGACGAAAGUCUGACGGAGCAACGCCGCGUGAGUGAUGAAGGUUUUCGGAUCGUAAAACUCUGUUGUUAGGGAAGAACAAGUACCGUUCGAAUAGGGCGGUACCUUGACGGUACCUAACCAGAAAGCCACGGCUAACUACGUGCCAGCAGCCGCGGUAAUACGUAGGUGGCAAGCGUUGUCCGGAAUUAUUGGGCGUAAAGCGCGCGCAGGUGGUUUCUUAAGUCUGAUGUGAAAGCCCCCGGCUCAACCGGGGAGGGUCAUUGGAAACUGGGAGACUUGAGUGCAGAAGAGGAAAGUGGAAUUCCAAGUGUAGCGGUGAAAUGCGUAGAGAUUUGGAGGAACACCAGUGGCGAAGGCGACUUUCUGGUCUGUAACUGACACUGAGGCGCGAAAGCGUGGGGAGCGAACAGGAUUAGAUACCCUGGUAGUCCACGCCGUAAACGAUGAGUGCUAAGUGUUAGAGGGUUUCCGCCCUUUAGUGCUGCAGCAAACGCAUUAAGCACUCCGCCUGGGGAGUACGGCCSCAAGGCUGAAACUCAAAGGAAUUGACGGGGGCCCGCACAAGCGGUGGAGCAUGUGGUUUAAUUCGAAGCAACGCGAAGAACCUUACCAGGUCUUGACAUCCUCUGACAAUCCUAGAGAUAGGACGUUCCCCUUCGGGGGACAGAGUGACAGGUGGUGCAUGGUUGUCGUCAGCUCGUGUCGUGAGAUGUUGGGUUAAGUCCCGCAACGAGCGCAACCCUUGAUCUUAGUUGCCAGCAUUCAGUUGGGCACUCUAAGGUGACUGCCGGUGACAAACCGGAGGAAGGUGGGGAUGACGUCAAAUCAUCAUGCCCCUUAUGACCUGGGCUACACACGUGCUACAAUGGAUGGUACAAAGGGCUGCAAGACCGCGAGGUUUAGCCAAUCCCAUAAAACCAUUCUCAGUUCGGAUUGCAGGCUGCAACUCGCCUGCAUGAAGCCGGAAUCGCUAGUAAUCGCGGAUCAGCAUGCCGCGGUGAAUACGUUCCCGGGCCUUGUACACACCGCCCGUCACACCACGAGAGUUUGUAACACCCGAAGUCGGUGGGGUAACCGCAAGGAGCCAGCCGCCUAAGGUGGGACAGAUGAUUGGGGUGAAGUCGUAACAAGGUAGCCGUA